ACCAUGGGAGCGGGUUCUGCCAGAAGUAGUUAGCCUAACCGCAAGGAGGGCGAUUACCACGGCAGGGUUCGUGACUGGGGUGAAGUCGUAACAAGGUAGCCGUAUCGGAAGGUGCGGCUGGAUCACCUCCUUU
rnacentral:rRNA from 1 species